UGGGAGCAGCCUCCGCCGCGGCCGCCGAGUUCCAAUGGCCCAUUGGAACCUUUUGCUAGGUUUUGGACGCUUAGCAGAACUUUGACAUCGCUGGAGGCGUGGAGCCCUGUUGCACUCGAAUAAUGGCCUCUCUUUGAGAUGAUUCACGUCUAGGGAACACUGGAAAAUGCUGGAUUCACAGUGCCCCUUUGCCUUCGAAAAACUUUUACAUUGGCUUUAAGUACUUUAUUUGGAGGAUGAUUCUGUGAUCUUAUCUACACUGUUCACAAGGCAGCACUUACACAGGCCCAGAACCAUGGUCAUGUAGGAUUCUUUCCUGGGGAAACAAAGUAAAUAAACUGACUUUUAGGUGUAUCUGUAGGAUGGAUUUUUUACAAACUUAAGAAUUAUGUUUAGGAAGAUUAAUGACUGGGGAAUACAAAAGGAAGUGGCAACAGUGGGAGUCCUUGUAUUGUAGACUGAAUUAUCCUCCAAAAAGAUAUAUUGAAGUCCUAAACCUUGGUAUCUGUGAAUGUGACCUUAUUUGGACUGCCUUUGCAGACGUAAUCAAGUUAAGAUGAAAUCAUACUGGAGUAGGGUUUGCCCUACUCUAAUAUGACUUGUGUCCUCAUAAAAAGGGAACAGACACAGACACACGCACAGAGAACACCAUAUGAGGAUGGAGGCAGAGAUUGGAGUGCUGUAUCUACAAGACAAGGGAUGCCAAAGAUUGCUGGCAACCCCCAGAAGCUAGGAAGAGGCAAGGAAGGAUUUGCCCCUAGAGCCUUCAAAGACAGCAUGGCCUUGCCAACACCUUGAUCUCAGCUGCUAGUUUCCAGAACUGUGAGACAAUGCAUUUCUCUUGUUUGAAGUCACCCAGUUUGUGGCACUUUGUUACAGCAGCCCUAGGGGGCUCAUACACCUUGUCUUGGUCCCAGUGUCAGAGGGAAAGCUUCAGUGUUUCACCAUUAGGCAUGAUAUUUGCUGAAGGUCCUUUUGGGGGAUAUCUUUUUUCAGAUUCAGAAA
rnacentral:lncRNA from 1 species